AGAUCACUUAUCUCUUUCCCUCCUCCCCUCCUCCCUCCCUCGGUCCGCACCAUCUCGGAUCGGACCCCCACCACCCCACCACCACCACCAACAACCCUCCAACACACACAUACACACACACACCUCCCCUCCACCACCCCCACCCCUCGGCUCCUUCUCCUCCUCUCGGUUGCUUUAAGAGGAAUACGGAGUGUGUUUGAGCGCAGCGGCGCUGGACGGAGAAAGCUCGGCCGGGGUCAAGGUCGCAUCCCUCAGUGAGGGGACUGGAGCACUGCCCUUCAGUCAGCAGGACAGCGAGUUGCCCGCUGCGGCUGUGGAGCAUGCAGUAGCUCGAGCGUCAAUGCUUGUGUAGCCUAUACGUGUGUGUUUGAGAGAGAGUGAAGAGAGGGAGGGAGUGUGUGGGAGUGUGUAAGCAAGUGUGUGUGUGUGUGUUUGAGAUGGUGUGUGUGUUUGAGAGUGUGUGUGUGUGUGUGUGUGUGUGUGUGUGUGUGUGUGUGUGUGUGUGUGUGUGUGUGUGUGUGUGUGUGUGUGUGUGUGUGUUUGUGUAGGACCGUACAGGAGAAGGUGAGGACGCAGUACAGUUGCUGUGUGGAUGUGAAUUCUGCAGAGCGCGGGGACCAUCGUUCGCCUUCGUGUCCAGCCCGUGCGAAGGAUCACAGGUAGAAGAAUGACACACAGCUAUGAUGCUGCAGAUGAUCUGCCGGACUCCUGACUGCUGAAGUAGAAGAAUGAUUCAAGCAGUGAAGCCCUGAUCAUAAGAGCAUAAAGUAAGAUCUUGUCACCAUGCCAAACAUUUACAAACCCCAUUUAUUAAUCGGAGAUUCCAAACACACAAUCACACAAUACUCCCUAAUAAACUGAUAAAGCUACAUUACAACUGAGAUCAUAUAUACACUACCUCACCCCCUACUGCUACUGGAGGCCAGGAUGAAUUACUUUAUCCAACCUGCAAAACUUACUAAAGGAAAAUAAAUAGAAUAAAAGCAACACACACACACAUACACACUCAGUAGAUAUUUAUGUAUUUUCCCACAUACACUAAUAUAAUAUAUGUUGUUAAUAUACUAUUGUAGUGUAUAUGGUUAAUUUAACCUUUAAAUCCAGUGACUGAACUAACCCAGUGAUUAUAAUGCGCUAAUGAAACCCGACUGAAAUAAUGGGAACCAAAACAACAGCACAAAAAGCACAGCCCUGUUGUUUCUUCGGACAGCCUGUUUGCCCCCCAAACCCCCCAUUUAAAGAAAGCGAGUUUUUUGGGGCGGGUCAGAUGAUUUUAUAGUGAGCAACACCUCUUUUAAAGAGCAAUUAACUCUAAUUAGACGUGUAAAGAAAGCGCGCUGCUCUUCAGCGCUCCUUCAUUGGGGAAUCGUUUUCUGCGCCUUAAACGUCUGGCUUUUUUUACGAGCUCCUGGAAACGGGAUGGCCAGGCGAGCGCGCAUUUAGAGGCUUU